rnacentral:rRNA from 1 species
AUUGAACGCUGGCGGCAGGCCUAACACAUGCAAGUCGAGCGAGCGGCGGACGGGUGAGUAAUGUCUGGGGAUCUGCCCGCUAGAGGGGGAUAACUACUGGAAACGGUGGCUAAUACCGCAUACUAUCGGCUGUCACCAUAUGGGAUUAGCUAGUAGGGGGGGUAAAGGCUCACCUGUGCGAAGAUCUAUAGCUGGUCUGAGAGGAUGAACAGCCACCCUGGGACGGAGACACGGCCCAGACGCCUACGGGAGGCAGCAGUGGGGAAGAUUGCACAAUGGGCGCAAGCCUGAUGCAGCCAUGCCGCGUGUAUGAAUAAGGCCUUAGGGUUGUAAAGUACUUUCAGCGGGGAGGCGUUACCCGCAGAAGAAGCACCGGCUAACUCCGUGCCAGCAGCCGCGGUAAUAC